ACGAACGCUGGCGGCGUGCUUAACACAUGCAAGUCGAACGGAAAGGCCCUGCUUUUGUGGGGUGCUCGCGUGGCGAACGGGUGAGUAACACGUGAGUAACCUGCCCUUGACUUUGGGAUAACUUCAGGAAACUGGGGCUAAUACCGGAUAGGAGCUCCUGCUGCAUGGUGGGGGUUGGAAAGUUUCGGCGGUUGGGGAUGGACUCGCGGCUUAUCAGCUUGUUGGUGGGGUAGUGGCUUACCAAGGCUUUGACGGGUAGCCGGCCUGAGAGGGUGACCGGCCACAUUGGGACUGAGAUACGGCCCAGACUCCUACGGGAGGCAGCAGGGGGGAAUAUUGCACAAUGGGCGGAAGCCUGAUGCAGCAACGCCGCGUGCGGGAUGACGGCCUUCGGGUUGUAAACCGCUUUCGCCUGUGACGAAGCGUGAGUGACGGUAAUGGGUAAAGAAGCACCGGCUAACUACGUG
rnacentral:rRNA from 1 species